CGGUAUGAUUCAUGACUGGGGUGAAGUCGUAACAAGGUAACCGUAGGGGAACCUGCGGUUGGAUCACCUCCUUACCUGAAUGAAG
rnacentral:rRNA from 1 species